CAGCAGCCGCGGUAAUACGAAGGGGGCUAGCGUUGUUCGGAAUUACUGGGCGUAAAGGGCGCGUAGGCGGCCAUUCAAGUUAGAUGUGAAAGCCCUGGGCUCAACCUAGGAAUUGCAUUUGAUACUGUUUGGCUUGAGUUCGGGAGAGGUGAGUGGAAUUCCCAGUGUAGAGGUGUAAUUCGUAGAUAUUGGGAAGAACACCAGUGGCGAAGGCGGCUCACUGGACCGACACUGACGCUGAGGCGCGAAAGCGUGGGGGGCAAACAGGAUUAGAUACCCCGGUAGUCCCUGUCUCUUAUAC
rnacentral:rRNA from 1 species